rnacentral:rRNA from 1 species
CGUGGGGAACCUGCCCCAUAGUCUGGGAUACCACUUGGAAACAGGUGCUAAUACCGGAUAAGAAAGCGGAUCGCAUGAUCAGCUUUUAGAAGGCGGCGUAAGCUGUCGCUAUGGGAUGGCCCCGCGGUGCAUUAGCUAGUUUGUAAGGUAAAGGCUUACCAAGGCGAUGAUGCAUAGCCGAGUUGAGAGACUGAUCGGCCACAUUGGGACUGAGACACGGCCCAAACUCCUACGGGAGGCAGCAGCU